rnacentral:rRNA from 1 species
UACGGUGACCAUACCACGUUGAAAGCACCGGUUCUCGUCCGACCACCGCAGUUAAGCAACGUUGGGCACGGUCAGUAUUUGCAUGGGUGACCGGCUGGUAAAAACCGAGUGUCGCCGGCU